rnacentral:lncRNA from 12 species
CAGGAGCAAUGCCUCCGCCUGCGUGCGCUCGGUGCCCUGGCGGUGGCCCCAGGUCCGCAGAGGCAAUGCCAGGCCCCUUCGGCCCGGCCCGGGGCUGCGGGGAGCCACGCUUGGGCUCAGAGGAACGUGAGGGGUCAUCUGAAACCUGGGACGGAAAUCACCAGGACCAAGGCCUCGGCUGUGGAUCACACCCCACCUGAUCCACCUCUUUGUUCCUGUCUCUCCUAAGCUCAGGGGGGAAGGAAGCUGUUCCUCUGUCAUGGGCUGAACGUUUGAGUUCCACCAACUGGUAUGGUGAAGCCCCGGCCCUCGAUGUGAUGGUCUUUGAAGGGGGGGCUUGGGAGGUCCUGAGGGUCAGGGUAGGUCAUGAGGAUGGAACACAAGCUGGCCUGAGUGUCUUCAUGAAGAAAGGAAGCGCCCUCAGGACUCUGGUAUGGCAGUGAGGAUGCAGCGAGAUGCCAGGAAGAGUUUCCUUUCAGAACCGACUUGGGGCACCCUGGUCUCUAGCUUCCAGCCCGGGGACCGGGAGGAAAACAUCCUUGCUCUGAAGCCAUGGCCAAUGAUGUCUUGUUAGAGCAGCCCAAGCUAAGACACACAGACACUCUGCAAGGAAACUUCUUCAUCAACUGGUCCUCCUGGUCGUCGUCAUCUCCCCUCUUCUGACUCUUCACCACUGCGUAAAACACGAGACCCGCCUUCCCUGCACCUUCCCUGCUGAAUUUUCCUGUCAGUCUCCACCUGGUUUCUCUCCUCUUCCCUCCUCCUGCCAUUUAUCACACAUUCUCCACAAAUGUUUCUGUACUUGCCACCCCAUUACGAUGGUCACGCGUCUACCACCUCAGACCCUUCAACACAUUUACCCGGUAUGCACUUUGAUGUCAAAACCUAGGUUGGAUUUUGGAGAGAAAUACAAGAAGCUCCAGCCAUAGCGUGCCUAUCAUUGUCAGGGCUGCUGCUGUUCAUUUACAGGGUUGCUUAUUCGUGGGCAGCAGGAGUCCAGAACCUGGGCCCCGAUGGCGGCAUACCCAGCAAGUGCCUGCGUGGAAGUGGGCU